AUUGAACGCUGGCGGCAGGCCUAACACAUGCAAGUCGAGCGGAUGAAGGGAGCUUGCUCCUGGAUUCAGCGGCGGACGGGUGAGUAAUGCCUAGGAAUCUGCCUGGUAGUGGGGGAUAACGUCCGGAAACGGGCGCUAGUACCGCAUACGUCCUGAGGGAGAAAGUGGGGGAUCUUCGGACCUCACGCUAUCAGAUGAGCCUAGGUCGGAUUAGCUAGUUGGUGGGGUAAAGGCCUACCAAGGCGACGAUCCGUAACUGGCCUGAGAGGAUGAUCAGUCACACUGGAACUGAGACACGGUCCAGACUCCUACGGGAGGCAGCAGUGGGGAAUAUUGGACAAUGGGCGAAAGCCUGAUCCAGCCAUGCCGCGUGUGUGAAGAAGGUCUUCGGAUUGUAAAGCACUUUAAGUUGGGAGGAAGGGCAGUAAGUUAAUACCUUGCUGUUUUGACGUUACCAACAGAAUAAGCACCGGCUAACUUCGUG
rnacentral:rRNA from 1 species